rnacentral:lncRNA from 1 species
UGGUGGAAUGGUUUGAUGAGAAAAUCCUUCGAUUAUUAACUCAUUAAAAUUUGUUGGUCUAAUUAAUUUGAAAUGAGUUAAAAAGUCCAAUUAAUUAACUUUUAAGAAAAAAAAUGAAGAUGAGUGUGACAGUGUGAAUUAAUUUAAAGUGAUGAUAUGGUCGAACAAGUGAAAAUAUCCUUGAUGCAGGCAUUGUUAUGCUAUAUGAGUCUUCUGGCAUUGAAGCUUAGUAGACAAAUUUACUCAUUAUCUUAAAUUACUCUAAAGCAGAAUCACAAGGUAAUGAUAAAAAAAAAGCUUAAAUCACAAAAUGCUGGAUGCGCUUGAUUCCGAAACUAAUCUAAGCCACUUAAAUCCAUAAUCACAAACCGAAUCAAAACAACUUAAAUCAUAACAGCUCAAAUAAACCGAAUAAAAACAACUUAAAUUAAAACAGCUUAAAUAAACCGAAUCAAAACAACUUAAAUUAAAACAGCUUAAAUAAACCGAAUCAAAACAGCUUAAAUCUAAACAGCUCAAAUAAACCGAAUCAAAACAGCUUAAAUAAACCGAAUCGAAACAGCUUAAACCCAACAAUCCUAAACCAAAUCAAAACAAUUUAAACCCAAAAAAAAGCUUGAAUAAACUGAAUUGAAAACGACUUAAAUCUAAACAGCUCAACUCUACAAUCAUAAAACGAAAUAACACAACUUAAAUCUAAAACAACUUGAAUAAACAAUUCUAUUGCAACAAACAAGACAUUCGGUCGAACACGCCGAGUCGUAGAUAAACCACUUCUAGAUAAACAAUUUUGAAAUUUAUAACAGUUUCGCAGCAACACACACAUGAUUAAAUCCAAUUAAAACAUUGUAAUAGAUACGUUUGGGAAGAACUCAAAAUCGUUACCGAAACACGGAUCUUCGUUGCUGCAAGUUGCUGAUGUGUUCUCCGAUGUUGCGGAACCGUGUGAUUGUGUUAGAGGUAGUGAUGACGAACAAAGGCGUACGCCGGUGGCUGUUGUUGUUGGUUCGCCGGAUACGAGGGGUUUAGAUGGAGAAAAUGGCGGCGGAAGAAGUGAAUGAUUCGUAGCAGAAUCACAGGGUAACAGCAGAAAUCACUUGAAAUCGAACGUUCACUUAACAUUCCCACGACUCUAAAGCUCUCAAUGAUGGACUUCACACCUUCCCUGUAAACAUCCAAAAUUUCCAGAAGCAACACAUUUUCAGCAAAUCAAUUUAAACAAAAAUUAAAAAAAAGGCUACAGGAAUAGUUGAGAGGUGGGUCACGGGGUCUUCGCCGUAGUGGUGAGGUUGUGGGUUAACGGCGUGGGUUACUGAAAAGGCGGAGGUUUGACGGGUUGUUGAAGGGGUUUGACGGAAGACGAUGGGUUUGAGCGGAUGGUGAAGGUNGUCGGGCGACCGAGUUGAUUGAUUGUAGUUUCAGAGGUAGUGAUGACGCACAAAGGCCGGGUUACCAUCGCGCUGUGUGUUGUUCGCCACCGGAUCACUCGAGGGGUUGAGAUGAGAACAUGCGCGGGAAGAAUGACACGAUUCGUCAGCAACACAGUGGUAUAGCAAGCAGAAAUCCUUGAAAUCUGAACGUUGCCUCACGUUCACUUAACAUUCCCACGGCUCUAAAGCUCUCAAUGAUGGACUUCACACCUUCCCUGUAAACAUCCAAAAUUUCCAGAAGCAACACAUUUUCAGCAAAUCAAUUUAAACAAAAAUUAAAAAAAAGCUACAGGAAUAGUUGAGAGGUGGGUCACGGGGUCUUCGCCGUAGUGGUGAGGUUGUGGGUUAACGGCGUGGGUUACUGAAAAGGCGGAGGUUUGACGGGUUGUUGAAGGGGUUUGACGGAAGACGAUGGGUUUGAGCGGAUGGUGAAGGUUGCGUUCGAAUUUGUUGGUGGAAGGUGAUUCGAAGGAUGACGGCGGUGAAUGGAGGGUUUUGGUUGUUUUACCGUCAGUGGGGAGAUGGAGAGGGCUUUAAGGGCGGAUACGGUGGGACGAUGAUGAUGGCGGCGUGAAGUGGGAAGGUGGCGGCGCCGGCGAUUUAGGGUUUGUUGACGGCGAUGAGAGAGUGUGGAGACGGCAAGGGUUUCGUGGGUUGUUGAAGAGGGAGAAAGAAGCGAGGGUUUUGAAAGGUAACGUUGAAAUCUCAGAGUGAAUAGUCAGUGAAGGAGAGUGUGAGAGGUAUUGUGAGAGAGGGAGUGAAUGUGAGCUGUGAGAAUUCUCCGAGAGAGGGGUGAAUAGUGAAUGGUUUUUGUAGGUGAGAGCAGAGAGAGAAUCUGAGAGAGAGAGGGUUUUUACAGCGUGUUUUAGAGAGAAUUUUUUUUGUCUUUUUCCUUUCUUUCGUACAGUAGAGGGAGGGGUAGUGGAAGUUUGUUACUGAGUGGGGGAAUUAGUGGAAUGUGAGUGGAGGAGAAUGAGAGACGUUGGAGUAUUUUGAAUUUUUUGUUUUUUUAUGGAUUGGGGAAUCCAAUGCAAUAUUUAUAUUUAUAAUUAUCCUAAAAAAUCUAUCUAAUAUAUAAAAAAGAAAAUUAACUAAUAUUUAUAAACAAAAA